rnacentral:rRNA from 1 species
UACGGGGGGGGCAAGCGUUGUUCGGAAUUACUGGGCGUAAAGCGCGCGUAGGCGGCUUUUCAAGUCGGGCGUGAAAGCCCCGGGCUUAACCCGGGAAUGGCGCUCGAUACUGUUGAGCUAGAGUGUGGAAGGGGCUACUGGAAUUCCAUGUGUAGCGGUGAAAUGCGUAGAUAUACGGAGGAACACCAGCGGCGAAGGCGGGUAGCUGGGCCAACACUGACGCUGAUGCGCGAAAGCUAGGGGAGCAAACGGG